CAGAAGCCAGGGCCUGAGUACCUUGCUGGCUCCAGGCAGCAGAUGAAGCUUCACAUAGGGAUCUGCCAAGCCAUUGGAAUCCAUGGGCUUCAGUCCCUGCAAGAAGAGGAAGAGGCCUGAGUCCACCAACCACAGUAGGCGAUGGCACCUGUCUCACCUGGUGGGGACAGAACAGAAGGAUGCUGUAUCAUGAAGAUAGUGCUGGCAUCAGGUGCUGAAUUGAACGACUUGGCACUCCCUAGCUGUGUGGCCUUAGGAAGCUUUCUGUGCCUCUCUGAUCAUGGUUCCGUGCUGUUGAGUGGAGGAAUGAAUGCUCUCCCACGUCAUUCCCGCGUGACUCAUACCCUCUCAAGCCCUCCAGCUUGGCUCAAGAGUCACUUCCUAGAGAAGCCCUCCCUUAAGCAGCCACUGGAGAGAUCACUCAGCCUGCGAUGAGCUCAUUCAUCGUUGGACUCUUUCUCCCCUGUUGCGUUUUGCCCUAAUGUCCUAGUGCCUGGAGCAGCUUGAGUCUCAGGAUGCGAGGUCAAUAAAUCCUCGUCCAUGACAAAGAUGAGCCAGCAAGGAA